UUCAAAUGAAAUGGACGGGGUGAUUGAAAGUUGUACCAUGCGAUAUGGUGGGGAGUCCGCACGAGAUCCCUGGUUGACUUCUGGUCAACCCUGCGUGUGGCCACACAUAGAACGGCCACUUGGCCUUCAUGCAUUCAUGGAUGGGCGUCAUAUAAAACUUUGCUAAUGAGAGAGAGAGUUCAUUUGAAGAACUUCAUUCUCUCUCUUCACUUCAGAGCUACCUCUCGCUCUGCAAGUGUUCGCCCGCUCCGAUCAAAAUCCAUCGGUGAAGACGGUGGUGGUCGACCGUAGGCGUCGGCGCCACCUUCUUCUCCGGUCAAAACACCACCGUAAAAAUGCGAGAACAAAAAAAAAAGAGCCCUAACCCCUUUCUAUUUUCUUCCUACAAUCCAAAUCCGUUCUUGUUUUCAAAAAACUCUUAACCUAAACGUCCAGAUCUACACAUAGUAAACAAGAAAACCAAAACACAAACAACAAACCCUUGCCAAUACGCAACGUCAAACGGCCUCUAUAGCAAGAAUGUUUCAACAAAAGGAAAUUCAAAAAGGCCGAACCCUAAUUUUCAGAUUAGGCUUCGUAUGAUAGAGGAACAAAGCGGCUAGCAUGGGGGUUUCCAUCUAAAUCGUAAGGUGAAGAGACUAGCAUCUCUGGAUUGAAGAAAAGAACAAGGACUUACCGAAAUGGAGCCAAUCUGGGGAAAUAUUUGAUGAAACAGAUAAGUAUUUUCCGCUUCCUAUCUUUUAAAUUCCCUCUUCCUCGUCUUUUUCUUUUUUUGCUUUAGGUUCAGCUCGAAUUAUCUCAGAGUUUUAAUGGGAAACUCUGAAUAAUUUGUCAAUUUUGAGCUCUUUGUGAAGUUUUGGAUCUGAUAGCGUUUUUGUCGUGUUACGUUAGGGUUUUCUCUUAUUUCAAUCUUCUUAUGUGUAUUGCUUUUAUAUUGGGGAAAUCUCUUUUGAUAAUGAGGUUAGGGUAUCUCACUCGAAUCAAUCCGUUAGAAAGAAAAUCCCUGAUUUUGUGGGAAUUCAGCGUGAGUGGUGAGCGAGCAAAUCCACAAGGCCAUGUGUGGGAUUUUUUGUUAGCCUUAUCCCAUGUAUUUCUUCUUUGAUUUACCAUUUUUUACUGUUGCGGUAACUUGCUUUGUAGCUGUGUAUUUUCUACUGAUGUAUGUGGUACUGGGAUGUGUAUUGCGUAUGAUAAUGUCUUUGCCAAGUUGGCUCACGCAGUUUGGUUUUGCUUGAUACAGGUUCUACAGGUGAUGCGUCCUGCAAUGGCUCAAACUUCUGCAAUGGCAUCUAUAUAAUUUCUUCUGGCCAUUGGAUUUUAUGACUGCUUUGAUUUCUAACUUGGUCAUUUUGCAGGGUCUGAUUCCUCAAAACAAAUCGUAGGGCAUGUUGUUUGGCUUGUGGACUUUCGACUUGGACGGUAAUGUAGGCUGGACUUCAGGUUUGUGACGCUUUGCACCUAUUUUGACUUAGUCAUGCCUGCAUAAAUAACCAUUAUUACGGUCCUGCAACAACAUCGUCUUGUGCCGCUUCAAUCACGAUAAGCCAGGCGUAUUGGUUUUUUCCAUGCGCGGUUCUGAUGAAAACCAGGUGGUUCUACAUCAAAUUCUUCCUGCAUUACUUGUUGGUUAUUAGAGGUUGAAGGCUUGUUCACGACGUUGCAGAUCUCGCGCUUUGACGCCUACUGGCUGUAUUCAAUCUUAUCUUGCUUCCUUUGUUUAUAACAUGUAGGGACUUAGAUUACGUUAUCAAGUCAUUUGGCCAUGCCUAAACAUGUGUGAUUUGUAUGCUGUAAUGUUAGUUUGAAAAAUGAAACAAUGUAAUUUUAAUGUGUGAA